rnacentral:rRNA from 1 species
CCCUUAGAUGUUCUGGGCCGCACGCGCGCUACACUGUUUGAUUCAGCGAGUCUUAACCUUGACCGAAAGGUUUGGGUAAUCUUCUAAAGUCAAACGUGAUGGGGAUCGAUCAUUGCAAUUAUUGAUCGUGAACGAGGAAUGCCUAGUAGGCGCAAGUCAUCAGCUUGCGUCGAUUACGUCCCUGCCCUUUGUACACACCGCCCGUCGCUCCUACCGAUUGGGUGUGCUGGUGAAAUGUUCGGAUCGGCCGUUUGUCGCGGUUUCCGCGGCUCGUGGCUGAGAAGUUCAUUAAACCCUCCCACCUAGAGGAAGGAGAAGUCGUAACA